AAAGGUGUAAAGAUACCUGUCACUGCUGGGCCAUCCUUCUGCUUGCAAAGACCCCUCAGCCGUCGCCCUGGCUGGGUUAGCUGCGACCCGGGCAGCAGGGACCCAUCGCAAGAGCCCUUCCAGCGGCCGAUUGAAACGCCUGGAUUGAACAAUCCCAUUGUGUUUCAGAUUUUUGCUGAAAGGAUUCUGCUAUUUCAGAGAAUAAAAUGAGGGGAGGGUGAAGAGAGCGCGCACAGAGGAAGGUUGGGGACCACCCUGAACAGUGAGGAUAACAAGAACACCGAGUACCUGCGCUGCUCUUUGUUCAUCACCGUCCACCCCGGACACUGGCUGAGCUCCUAGAACAUAAAACAAUCUGUGGAAGCUGAGAGUUCUGCAAGCAUAUCUGACUGGUGAAUCAACUGAGCUUUUUUGAGGGUGAUGAGAAGAUUCCUGAGAGACUGCUCUCCUACCGACCCUCUCUGGCCAAAGGAGAGGCUUCAGAAACUGAGAGUGGAAGAAUGAAGAGGCUUCUGCCACAGUUCCGGGGCAUAAUUCCAGCAGUGCGUCUCUGCCCAGUGGUCCGUCUCCCGUACGCAGACCGUGCCGGCAGCUCCUGGCACCACGAAGGGCACAGAGGGGACGAUUGCCCAUUGGCAGAUGAGCAGCUCCCUGGCUUCUGCACAUGCAAACAUUUGAAUUUCCUGUUGGCUCAGAGCAAAUGAUUAACGGGAGAAGAGACGUAAAUGGCAAAGUCUUGAUCAAGGGAGCUGCUGUCAGGGCACCAUCGAGAUAAAUUAAGAAAAGAAUGCUCAGGUUUCUGUGAAAGAAGACUAAUGACAUUAAGUCGAGAUGAAAUAGAAAGGAACAGCAUUGCAGGCUGAAAAUCAUAAAAGACCAGCGUGCCCUGACAAGAAGCCGUGAGAAGCUUCCCGAACUGAAGAGCAACUGGAAACACUAAAGAAUUACUUUCUGCAAGUGCCACAUCUUGAAGUUACUCAGAACUGAAGACGACCCAGGCACCAAAUUUACUUCUUGAGACCUGCAGAGAUAAGUGAAGGAAUGUUCUGGAAGCUUCUGGAGCAGCAGCUGUUAGUAGGAGCCCCACAUGCUGCAGGUGUUCUGCAUCUCAGGUGCUAACUCUGCUCAGCGGGGAUCAGCCCCACCCUUAAACCCCAAACAGGAGCACCUGUGGGGAAGGAGCCUGUGGAUAACGGGAGGGUGCGAAGCCUCCCGUCGGGGACUGUUUCUGCAAGCCAGAGAGUCUGUUUCCAGGAUGGGAGGAAGAGCAGUCAGUCCUGGCUGGGAUUAUGAGGAGACUUUACCAGUGAGUGGAAUGGAUUUCUACAAAGAGAGGCUUCUCUGACGUGUUUGCAUCGCAAGUGACAUCUGGCUGACAGGAACUUGGAGAAAUGGGAUACGAAGUGAAUGCUGCAGUUACCACAGCAUCAUAUUUAUCAGGAGGCUUAAGUUCCAUCGUCCAACGCGCUGCGCUGCUCCGUUCAUCAGAGGGAAACACAUCGUAUGUGGACGCAAAGGACAGAUACGGGUCCCUACAUUUCCCAUCGGUGGAUAUGGAGAACAGUUGGGCACAGCAGCUACAUCGGCUCUGAAACACACCUUGAGCAAAGGAUUCCAGCCAAGCUCUGCAGAUCUAGAGUGGAGGCCAUCGUUAGUCCAGUCUGAUACCUGAUGUAUUACUUCAGCAGAAAAUUCAACAAGGCCAAGAUGUCUUCAUUUUCCUCGGGAGCACGAGCCGUAAGAGCAGUGCGGUGGAAGUAUUGGUCUUCCGUGGCCAGCCGGCGAGAGCCCAUCGACAGCUGUGAUGAGCAGAGCAGACACGGGGAGACAGGAGGCAGCUGAAGCCAAAGAGGACCCACGCCUGGAGCCGCGCGUGUGUGAUUGGAGCAGAGAGAGGCCAGGACCCAAGGAAAUCCCAGCAGCAAGGGAAAAAAACAGAUUGACUCUCAGUGACUCAUUUAGCUCCUGGAUUGGACAGAUCUCUCCCCUGCUGGCAAUUUGGCUGAGCAUCAAUGGACAGAUACCAGGAUGAAUAGCUUAAAAUAAUUAGGGGUUGGGAAUCUGCAAAACUGCUAGCCAUCCAAUUCUUUACUGUGCGAUGCGAGGCACAAAAAAGAAAUUACAUUUAGGUUAUUAAAUAUUAAGUCAGUGGAUUUACCUCCAUUUGGUCCAGAACAGGAAACUGGCUACAAUUCAACAUUUAUAUCAUUGUGUUGAUGGCCUGUUUAUCGCUGAACCAGUGAGUGCCUUCUGGCAGGUCAAGCUCUCAGACACAUUGGGGCGAAUGUGUGUUUAAUUUCUCCCAAACAGAAGAAUUAAUGUAAUAAUAAUUAACACAGAUGAGAACAGAAUUAAAAUCAAGUACAGUCAAGAGUUCAGUUUAAUGCCAGGCGUCUCCCGUUCUGGAUGUUCUGGGGCCAGAUUCGUUCCUGUUGGAGGUAGCGAGGAUUUUGCCGUUGGCGCUGAUGGAAGCCGGAGCCUUCAAUGCGGAGAGACAAGAUUCCCAAUACUUUCUAUUUAAUGCUCAAACCAGAAGCAACAGGCUCGUUUAGUAUCAGUAAAGGAAAGAAGGGAAAAGAGGGAUUUGACCAAUCGUGUCAACUGAGGCUUCGCGUUUGAAGAAUUUCUUAAACAACUGCUCUCAGAAGAAAGUGCUUCUCGACAGGAAUCAGGUUGCUGCAUACUUGCCGGUGGUGCCCUGGGUGUACGGAUGAGGAUGGUUCCUCUGCCCCUCAGAGAUUUCUUGUCUGCCAGAAGCAUGGGCAAGGCACACCAGGAAAGAAAGCAUUGAACAUAAGAGAAGAGACUUAAGAAGCAGUGGAAGCCCAGGUGUUUCCAGAGCUACCAUGUCUGCACAAGUUCCAGAAAGCUCGUGGUAAAGCAUCUGCCUUCACCUCCCACGCUCGAGCCCAUUAAAGGAUUUGAGGAAAAUUAUUCAGUGCUGUGGGCAACGAAGAAGAGACGUGAACUGUUCACAUCGGGCCUCUAAAAACUGAACAGCGAGGAAGAAGAGCUUUGGGAGCCCACUAAGAGUUAACUGGCUACAUUUCAACUGUCACCAUUGUCUUACAUCUACAUAGAGAGCAGGAGAGCGCCAGAGAGAUGUAACCGUGAUACCAACGUAGCACUAGGUCAGAAGAUCUGAGACCCGUUCAUUUGCAGCACGGCAGCAAUAUGGUUUACAGGGAGGCUUUCUUCUUCGUACUGUCGCCUUAACCCUUGGGAUGUCGCGUUCUGCUCCUGCAGCCCAUGCCUCACGCUGGUUUUGUUCAGACGAGGCCUCAGUCAAACGAUCUGGUCCAGUCUGAAAGGGACGCAGUCCCCGGGCUCCAGAUCCAGCCCAGGAGGGAGGAGAGGACCCGUGUGUAACGAGGGAAUUCACCAUCACAGGGUGGCAGGGAGCAUGUCUUGGUGUCCUCCUCUGGGCUCCCAGGAGGACGUGAACCAGGUGAGCACGGAGGGGAACCAGUGGGUGAGUCCUCUCUCCCAUCGCUGGCUCUGCUCGCUCUCGCUGGCCGGGGCGCCGAGCAGCCACGUGAGCUGUGCUGCCCUUCCUCCAGCACUGCUGCCCUCCUCCUCCUCACCAGCGAAGGCGUGAGGGUCCGUGAUGUUUGUUUGGUGCUUGUGGUGGGAAGGAGAUGCCGGUCACAUCUCGUUUUUUCUGAGGUUAUUCUCCAGCUGAUUCAAUUUCCACCUCACCAGAGUGGUGAGUCCUUGUGGAGCUCUGGAUUGAGGGUGGCUGAAGGUAUUCUGAUCCAAUUCUGCUGAACUGGAACUGAUUCAGUGAAACCAGGUCAGGCCACCGUGUCCCAAGCCCCGCGUGAGCGCCACUCCCGGCCACCUUGGCCGCUCAGCUGAAUCUGCUUGAACACGAGUCCUCGGAGCAGCCUGACAGGCGAGCGGGGCUGGGCUGGGGGUCAGGGUGCAGGAGAGCAGAAGAGAAAGUCAACUUGUAGAGAAAUCAUAAUUUUGGGGAGGUGGUUGAUAUUGGCAUUAAAAUUAAGCAAUUAAACCAGAAGGUUUGCUUUCUAUUCACUGGCCUUGGGCUACAGCUCAGGGAUGGUCCUUGGAAAGAACUAUGGAUGCAAGAAAGGAGGAUGUGGAGCCAGCCUGGUUUGUGCUCUGAACUGUCUCGUACAGAUGUAGGAGGGUUCAGGCUGAGUAAGAGAAGGCUUUUGCUCACCCGAAGGAAGGUGCAGUUAGGGGGGUGGGAUUAAAAUAUGCCCUUGCCAGACAUUUCCCUCAAAGGUUGACAGAAUAAUAGUUACGUUGGGUUUUUUUUCAUAUUAUCAUAAACAUCUUAAAGCAAAAAUUGUUUCAAAACAAAUGUUGGCCAAAAAGGAGCCCACCUCCUUUAACCCCAACACUGACAAUGCCUUUCCCCUUCUCCACAGCUCCUCUGUCAAUCAGUGGAACCAUUAAUUAACCUGAAGGCAGUCCCUGACCCGCAGUGAGCGUGGCAGGAUCCAUACAAAGGGCAGGGGAUGGAGUGGCUGCAAGCUGGUGAAGAUUUGGAUCCCAGAGAAGACGGCCACGAAGGGGCAAGCUUCCCCCCAGCAGCUGCAGGGCCCUGCCGGCACCGCUGCCUCCUGACACAAACGUUCUCCAGCCUGUGUCCAUCGUCCCCAUCACCUGGCUCUUCUCACACUGUCAUCUCAACACGGGGCUGAGGUUCGUCUGUCCAUCGGUGUUCUUGUGGAGAACGGAGAUGGAGCGCAUCCAUGAAGAGGGUGGGACCGCAUCCGUGGAGCAGCACGUUCACUGGUGAGCAGGUUAGAGGAGAAACAGCACUUCGCUACCCAAGGCACAAGGGGUGAGGAGCACAGUGUGGUUGGUGGGGUACAAACAAAUCCUGUGGAGUCCCAAGGUGCUCCCAGAAAGCAGAAAACAUCUAUCCAGCCCUAGGAGGUUUUAUUCAAACUUCUUCCUUAAAGAAUUGGCAAUUUUCCCCUUUAAAUCCUUUUCUUCGCCCCCUCCAUUUUGGUCUCUCUCGUAAACACAGAGGCCAGAAGGCUACGCUUAAAUAAUUCAUCUACAAAUUUGCAAUAUCUUUUUGAACUAUAGCAAUUAAACGGAAAAUAGAAAAAUCAGCUCAGCAUCCUGUUUGGAUGUAAUUAAAGGUAUAAUCUGUUCCAUUUGAAUACUUCAGUGCUUACCCUUCUUAAAACAACAAAUAAGAAUAGUAGCUCAUUUGCAAUAUGUGGGUUUUUUUCAAGGCAGCUAAAAAGACUAACUGAUGAAGCAAGAAUAAUAAUUUUUAAAUGUGGCAUAAGCACAAAAAUAUCUACUACAGCUUUCGAAUGAUUGCUGCAGCUCCCAAGUGUGAUGAGAGUUCAAUAACAAGAGGUAGGAGCUUUAUGGCAAAACGCUGAAGCCUUCCACUAUUUCGUAUCAGCAUCUUGAUGUGGCUGAUAUAAUUACCUAUCAAAUACAUCAGCGCAAUGAAUAUCAGAGGAGAUCCAAAAAGACGUCAGUGGGAUGUGUAUCAGCUCCAUCUUUUAGGAGCUGUUUGAUCUUAAGGGAUUUUUUCAAAGAAUAGAAGACAAAUAGCGCAUUCAUCGCCCCUUUGUUUUCUGUGAGCAGCUGAUGAUUUUACAGCACAAUAAAAUUAGCCUAUUAAUGGCUGGCUGAUGAGUUUUAGCUGGGUUUGGGUUUUCCUCCUACUGGACGUUUUUCCACUACUCAAAGAAACUGAAAUCAGGUGUAAAGUUAAUAUCCGCCUUGUUCAUUUGUUGUUCUGUAAGCAAUCAAGAUUUCCCCAAAUCACAGGGCAAUCUCUUGCCUUUCAAGAACGAGGCCCCGUUCUUUCAAUUUGGUUUAACAAAACAACUGGCAUAAGUUCAAUGGAAGCGAUGAUUAUUCUGAGAGGUUACGGUGAACCACAGAAGCUGUUAGUGAAAAGCUUGCUCGUGAGAUCCCCUAAGAGGAAAAGCCUAUGGAUAUCUCAAAAUGUAAUUAACGGCGUAUUCGAACAGCGCAAGAAAGAAGCGGUGGCUGGUUUGGCGGCAGAGGAACCUGGCUGCGCACGGAGAGCUUCAGCUUACCCAACACCAAAGGAUGCGAUGAGCACCAGAGAGGAGUACUCGCUGCUCACCUGCUCUGUCUGGAGGGCCUCCUUUCCUGCUGCCAACGUCCCUGUGCUCGGCCGCACGGCGCCCUCCCUCAGGGCCCGGGCGCUUUCCAGGAUGGGCCCUUCCUCCAGCGUCAGCCUGUCCCAGGGAUGAAGGCACUGGCCUCUACAGCUUGUCUCGCCUGGCUGAACACACCGUGGUGUGGCCUGAUCGUGCCUCUCCCAUCUCUAAAAGUCUGCAAUUUAUUACUUUUAAUACAGCAGCACUGAGAAGUCUCAUUAAAAAAGCAAAAAUACUCCAGCCCUUGUGGUGCCAGGCCCUCGGCCGCCCUGCAGUGGAUGAGCUGGAGGCAAGCAGAGGGGAAAAAAGGAUCAGGUGCCACCAGGCAAGACUAAGGCUGACAUCCCCAGCUCCCGUCCUAGAUCUUUAGUGCUUCCCCCUUGAAUGGGGAACCCGGCAGCCUCCUGUGUGCCGAAAAAACAUCUCUGUGACCUCAAUGUUGGAACUACAGCUAAAGGAAGCGCAACACCACAACCCGCCUUGUUAAUGAAGACCCACAGAGGAGGGGGAAAAAACAUAUCCUCAGUUGCGUCUGUCUCCAGUCACCAGGGCUUGUUUCAGGCCUUGGGCUCCAAUGUCUGAGCGAUCGCGGGGGCGGAUGGACUGCUGUCAGCCAGGCCGUUGGUGCUGAGGGCUGAGCACUGGCGCUCGUGCUGCCUGCGGGCACCGGGUGCGUACACCAACACGGUUUACCCCCAGCUACCCCACGAGUCUCACUUCAGGAGCAGGACCCAAGCCCUUUCACCGCCCAGAGAACAUCUCUGAGGGAUGGGAACCUGUUUCUAAAUGAAGCAGCGCUUAUCUCAUGCGUGCCACAGGUGUGAUGUCAUCCCCUCUGGCGAAGGAACAAGGAUGUCUACAGCCUCCGCGGUGCAAAAAAGGAACUGAAGUGAACGUGUCUCCGACUUUGUUAAAAUAUGGUGAUAAUUAAGAAAUAUAAUUACCACUACAAAGUUAAUUCCUCUUUGACUCCUUACAAACAAGUUUUUAAUUUGCACCAAAAAUUUACAUUUCAGAUUUCCAGUCAAGCCCACAUGGCUGCGAGCGUGGCGCGGACGCCGGGCAGCGGCUGCGGGGAUCUGCUGGGCUCGGGGCAGGAGCUCCGCGGCGGCCCAGGAGCCUCGCAGGUGAGCAGUCCCCACAGGUAAGCGUUUGCAGUGCUUUACCCUGUCUCGUCUGCUGUACAAGUGAGAAAAUAAUAGCCGUGUCAGGUAAACUUCUGCUUUUUAUUAAAAAAAACAAUCAACCCCCAAACCCAACUUAGAAGGUAAUUGAUUGCUUUCUUCUGGUCUUUUAUUAGUUGUGAUUAAGGAGAUAUAGUAGCUCUGUAUACACAGCUCCAACAAGUCCGGACCUGCACUACGUUAUUGGCUCGCAGCCCUCGACUCGCAGCCCGUUCGCAACAGGAUCGAUCUGAGGGUGAAAAACAUCCCCCGUAGGAAGCAUACGCGUCCCUGCUCACCCAGGAACCCACCGCACUAAGAACGUCGGGGCCUGUAAGUCGCGAGUUCAACUUCCAGCGCUCAGCCCCGACUUGUCGUCGCUCUCAGCGUGUUGGCGGUGAGAGCAGAGUACGGCCAACGCGACAAGCAUUCAUUUUUGAAAGCGAAGGGAAGCUCUUCCCCAAUGAUUAUUUGUGUGACUUCUCGGCAGCGCUAAAUGCAGAGGGUGCAUUUCAGCCUCGGCGGAGCAAACGCAUGUGAUAAAAGGUGAACAACUACACGUUUUUCCUUACAGAUCUCCUGGAAGAGUGAUUUUUUUUUUCACAUAAGGACAAAUCUGAGGGUUUCCAGUCGCCUUCUACCCGCAGCUGCCGUCCCCAUUAGAGGCUGCUCUGCUGCCUGAAAUGCCUCUGGUUUCAAGAGUUUUACCUAAAGCAAGAAUACUACUUAAAUAUGUUCUAUUGUAUAUUCAUAGCUCCAUUAGUCCUCCUCCAAUUUAGCACAUCAAAGCAAAGGCUUCAUCACUUGCAUGUGGAUUAUGCUAACAUGAGUGACAUUUGUAAUCUUAUAGGUCUGCAACUUAAGAAAUGCUUUUAAAGUAAGCUAUUAAAUAGGUAGCUGUGCUUUACAAACGAGUCAUAUAAUAGUUUAUUUAAAGCCGUUAAUGAACUUCAACCUCUACACCACUAAAUGCUAUACUACAUUACUUACUAGAAGUUAUUAACUAUCUUCUUAGCACUUCUGGGUUAUAUUGGACAACCAAAAAUCCGUACAUGUUAGAUUUAAACACUGUACCUUGAGUGCUUAUACGGAGAGAAUAUAAAGACGUGUCUACAGCCUCGCUAAUACUUGAAUUCUAUAUUCAGAUGACUUCAAGUGUCUUUUCAAAGAUAUCGAAGCAGCAGAAUUUGCAGGACUCUACCUACAGACUUUAAUGCCAGAUCAAAAAGCUUAGCAACAUAUUUAAAAAAAUAUCUAAGGGCAUUUAAUUAAAAAGUCAUACAUCGCUUCAGUCAUUUUAUUGCUUUAUAGGCUAUGCAAGGGUUCUUUUGUCUUUCCUCUCUGAUACUGUACAUUACGACAUUUUCUUUUCUCUGCGACAGCCCUAUUUUUCCUCAAGCACUGGAGUGUUAAAAGAAGAAAUUCAGCAGGACCUCCAAUAUAGCAGAGGUCAGGAAGUAGCAUCUGAAAACAAAAAAAAAAUCCUCUGUCGGUUGUUUAGACAGACAAAUCUAUAAAUCAGCUUUUUGUUUAUCGGCAUCACAACAAAAAUAAGCCAAGCUCAUCCCGUAACCAAUUACGGUGAACAGCGAACACCUUCUCAAAAGCAGCAUUGGAAAAGGCAACACACACGUGCUGUAUUCCAGGCGUACGUACGGGGGUUCCUAUCACAGUUCAGUAGUUGUUAAUAUUGAUUUGUUAUUAAUUGCGGCAGAGGCACAUUCCAUUCCCGGUGCCUGCAGUCCCUGACCGAGGGCACACGCUGCCCGGCCGGACUCACGCCUGCAUUCCUGCUCCAAACAGGGGAUUCUUGCUCAGGAUUCUGCUACGGAGCAGCUGACGGGGAAACCCACUGGAUGCAGUGGCUCCCUCUAAGCUCGGAGGAGGCGUUGCUGCUUUGAGUGGCUGCAUUUCACUUAUUUGCUUUCAGGGAACAGAUCAUAUUUGCAGUGUGUUCUCAGAAAUAGGCCGGGAAACAUGGUCUUUUUCUUUCCUUAGGAUUAGCAGUGUUGAAAAGUUAAGUCUUUUACCCCAGCAAACACAACUCGAUGCGGUCCUGACGGGAACAGUUCUUGAGUUCCUUUCUAUGAAUGCUCAAUUCUGGUGCUCAGCGGGAGGCACAGACCUUUUGUGGGGUUCUGUUUUCUUGUUCCUUGACCCCUCGCGGUACAUACACAGCCCCUCCUGCCCUGCGCCCUCAGCCGCACCACACCCUUAACAGGUGAUUCUAAAGAAAGGAACGGGCCCGAAGGAGCCCACGGUACCUGCAGUGGACCAUAAUUCGUGCAAUAUGAAUUAUAAUCCGCUUGCUGUUACCAGAAUUAAGAAUCUCAAUGAAAAAUAAAGAUCAUUUUCAAGUAGUCCUCUGUAUCCUUGCCAAAAGUAACACAGUUAAGUAGUUUAACAGAUUCUUUACUGGCAUGA